rnacentral:rRNA from 1 species
CAACCCUCUAAUACUAUUAGGCUAGAGUUUUUUGGGGAUGGCCGAACAUUGCGUGUAGGGGUGAAAUCCGUAAAUAUGCAACGGGCGUUCAAUUGGCGGAAGCUGCUUUCCAUUUAAAACUGACACUGAGGCGCGAAAGCGUAGGUUUCGAACGGGAUUAGAUACCCCGGUAGUCUACGCCCUGACCGAUGAGUAUUGGCUGUGAUUCAGUUAAGCUAACGCGUUAAAUACUCCACCUGAGUACUACGACCGCAAGGUUAAAACUCAAAGAAACUGACGGAAGAUUGUAUAAGCGGUGGAGUAUGUCGGUUUAAUUUGAUAUAACGCAAUGAAUCUUACCAACAAUUGAAUACUAAGUAUACAGCAUUGGUGUAUCGCGGCUAUGGCCCUUUACAUUCAAUCUUAUGGGCGCAGGGAGAAUUUUUAUUCCUCCUGCGCGCUUAGUACAGGUGCUGCAUGGUUGUCGUCAGUCCGUUUCGUGAGAUGUUAUGUUAAUUCAUUUAACGGACGUAACCUUUAACCUUAUUUAUAUUUUCAAAUAAGGUAAUUGCUAAUUAACAUUAGUUGAGAGGAGAGGAAGUCAAAUCAUUAUGGCCUAUAUGGGUUUGGGCUACACACGUACUACAAUGGUAAUUACAAUGCGAAGCAAUGAUGCGAAUCAAAGCGAAUCGUUAACAUUAACCGUAGUUCGGAUUAUUC